GGCCGCAUCACUGUGCCCAUGCCAUUCACCUCAGCUUGUCGCAUAGGUCUGUGUUAUGUCAUCGCAAGAAAGAGUACACAAUAAUAAGUGUUCGGCUAUAUCCCCUAGCCUCUGUCAGUCUUGUGCUUCAACCUCCCCAGGAGCUGAGACUACAGGCCUGCACCACUGCUUGAGCAGAUAAAGACAAUUACCGUACAUAGGUACAAUCACUUCUACCAAGUGCUGUCGAAGCUGAUAGAUGGAAUCAUAUGUAGAUGAGAUUCCUUUGGUCCUGUAGGAUUCAUCCAGUGAUGGGGAGCUUGCUCUCUGU